rnacentral:lncRNA from 1 species
CCAUACUAAUACCAUUCUUUUAUAGUGUUAGUACGCAAUAGGAUCGAUACGACAAUAUCAGUAUGGUACAAUAUCGUACCAUUCUAGGUGGUACAGCAGACACCGAUGUUGAUGACUUCUUUAUCCAUCAUCAUCGUCUUGUAGGGACAGUCUCUUUUCACUAUCUUCCAUCUAAGCUUCAAGCUAUUGAUUUACUUACUAAGCCUCGGACA